rnacentral:rRNA from 1 species
GACGAACCGUGCGAACGUUAUUCGGAAUCACUGGGCGUAAAGAGCGCGCAGGCGGUCGUUCAAGUCGAGUGUGAAAGCCCCCGGCUCAACUGGGGAGGGUCAUUCGAUACUGAUCGACUCGAAGGCAGGAGAGGGUAGUGGAAUUCCCGGUGUAGUGGUGAAAUGCGUAGAUAUCGGGAGGAACACCAGUGGCGAAGGCGGCCAUCUGGGACAACACUGACGCUGAGGCACGAAAGCGUGGGGAGCAAACAGG